rnacentral:rRNA from 1 species
AUUAAAGUGCGAGUUUGAUCCUGGCUCAGGAUAAACGCUGGCGGCGUGCCUUAUGCAUGCAAGUCGAACGGUCUCGAUUUAUCGAGAUAGUGGCGAACGGGUGAGUAACGCGUAAGUAACCUGCCCCUAAGUAGGGGAUAACUC